rnacentral:rRNA from 1 species
GUUGCGAAUGAACAGCAAAUUGCUCAAAUUGAAUUUGGGGACACCUGGCCCUCAACAUGAAAUCUCUGAAUGCUCCACCAACAAAGGCUCAGGAACAAAACCAUUCUGGAGGGGAUUGUGAAAGUGCCAACAGGGGUGAGAAUCCUGUGGUUCUUGCAGACCUUGUUCACGGUGUCUGCUUUCCAGAGUCAUGCUCCUUGGAACUGGAGUGCAAAGUGGGUGGUAGCUUCCACACAAAGGCAAACACACCACUGAGACUGACAGUGAAGAAGUACCGUGAGGGAAGUAUGAAAAGGACUUUGGAAAGAGAUUUAAAAGAGCCUGCACUUGCUGGACAACAAGCAUACAGAAUGAUCGUGUGAUUGGACAGAUUGCUGUGUGAAUACAGGUAACAAUCCUGUGCUGCAUGCGGAGAUUCUUUCUUGGUGUGCCAACUAGUGUGAGAGCAGUCAGUAUCUGUGGGCAGUGCUUGGGGUGUGUCUUGUGUCACAUGUGAUUGUAUGUACCUGGUCUGAACAUGUGAAACUGCAUCUACUGGCAAUGAAGAGUUAUGCAUGCAGUUGCUUUCACCAACGGUUCACCUUGUCAACGACAUGGGUGCCUUUCUGUGUGACCCGUCUUGAAACACGGACCAAGGAGUCUAGGCAGUAUGCAAGCUUGGGGGUGACAAACUCUGAGCACAAUGAAGCUGGAGUCCCGGAAAUGGCAGGGGUGUUCAACCAAGCAACAGGACAAGGUUUGAGUCUGAGCACACUUGUUA